CACAUGUUCUUCAAUUUUUCAGGAAAGAAGACCUUUUCUGAAGGCACCAGUGAAAGUCAGGUUUGAAUGCCUGGUGUACGUGAGUGUCACCCCCAGCAUUGAUGUGAGUGAAGCCCAGGCAGAGAUCUGCAGGCUGCUGAGUGUGAAGUACAGCAACGAGAUGCUGACCCUCAACACUGAGCCCAACAGCACAAGGGUCAAUCCUGUGGAGGCCCUGCCCACAGCCACCCCACUCCCCUCCAAUUCCCCGGGCAACACCACAGCCUUCACCGAUCCUGCCAGCAGCACU